GUACCUCAAAGGAUUAGUUUAGGCUGAUUCUUUGGAUUUGGGUCUUGCUGUGAACAUGUCUCAGCUUACCUUGAAAACAUUAGCAAGCUUUUUCAGAGUCUUUUCUGAAUGAGGCGUUUUUAAACGUUUACGUCUCAAAGAAAAGCACUGGUCCAAAGCUUGCUUCUAAUCAUUGGGGUCUAUCAUUUUUUCA
rnacentral:misc_RNA from 1 species